rnacentral:tRNA from 1 species
GCGGGUGUGGCUGAGGGGAUAGGCGCCGGCCUGCAAAGCCGUCUACGCGGGUUCGAAUCCCGCCACUGGCUC